rnacentral:rRNA from 1 species
AUUGAACGCUGGCGGCAUGCCUUACACAUGCAAGUCGAACGGUAACAGGUCUUCGGAUGCUGACGAGUGGCGAACGGGUGAGUAAUACAUCGGAACGUGCCUAGUAGUGGGGGAUAACUACUCGAAAGAGUGGCUAAUACCGCAUGAGAUCUACGGAUGAAAGCGGGGGAUCGCAAGACCUUGUGCUACUAGAGCGGCCGAUGGCAGAUUAGGUAGUUGGAGGGAUAAAAGCUUACCAAGCCGACGAUCUGUAGCUGGUCUGAGAGGACGAUCAGCCACGCGGGGACUGAGGAACGGCCCAGACUCCUACGGGAGGCAGCAGUGGGGAAUUUGGGACAAUGGGCGCAAGCCUGAUCCAGCAAUGCCGCGUGCAGGAUGAAGGCCUUCGGGUUGUAAACUGCUUUUGUACGGAACGAAAAGCCCUGGGUUAAUACCCUGGGGUCAUGACGGUACCGUAAGAAUAAGCACCGGCUAACUACGUGCCAGCAGCCGCCGUAACAC